UGCUACUAAAAACCUCCUUAUCCACUCGACUCUCAACUGUGUGAAUAAAAGCGAGGAAUAACAGUUUUAUGAGAUGAAUCUUUAUCUUCGCAUGCAUCCUAAAAUGAAACGAUAAAAAUUUAUGGAUUAUCAGAGAUUGGAAACUUUCAACUGCAAUUAUGAAAUUAUUAGAUUUUUCGACAUUAACUUCCUAAUCCUAUUCUUGAUUGUAUAUCCAGCCAUUUAUUUCUUCUUCAACUAUUUAAUGUGAAUCAGGAUUUUCUCGUCAUAGAUUUUGAAAUGUGACAUUUCGUUUGAAAAAUAAACACUUCAAAAUUACAGUUUUAGUUCGAAUUCCUAAGAUGAACGGGUUGAGAUGAGAUGAAGGGUUGAUUUUAUGGCUCCCCAGUUUGUGUUGGGUAUACUUCUGGGACUUUUGAUUUGCUAUUACCUAUAUUGCCCAGAUGAUGUCCUCGAUAGAGUUACGUGGCUAUUCUACAACUUCGCGUACGGUUAAAACUAUUGAAAUCUGGAAUGUUUCGAACCAAUUGGCACUUCAACAUUGAACAAUGCAAAUUGGUAAACGGUGGAUUUGGGUGUGCUUGAUCAUUUUGAUCUGUUUCUGGAUUGCUAUGCAUGAGGAGCUCCUUCAGUUUGUAACUGAUUUGAUGAAGUGAAUGUAAUGAAGACAUCAACAAAAAUAUGAAUAUUAUCGACUAUUUGCAUUA